rnacentral:rRNA from 1 species
AUAAGAUAGUAAGGGCACAGGGUGGAUGCCUUGGCGCCAAGAGCCGAAGAAGGACGCGGUAGACUGCGAUAAGUCACGGGGAGUCGUCUGCAGACGUUAUAGCCGUGAAUUUCCGAAUGGGGAAACCCGGCGAUGCGAACCAUCGUCAUCUCCAGAAUGAAUCCAUAGUUUUGGAGAAGGGCACUGGGAGAACCGAAACAUCCAAGUAACCCGAGGAACAGAGAGUAUUCCGCCAGUAGUGGCGAGCGAACGCGGAAGAGCCCAAACCUGUUGGUUUACCAGCAGGGGUUGUAGGACAGAAGCGCCGCAAGGCACCAAGUGAGCAAACGUUGCAUUACUCGAACAGGUCUGGACCGCCUGACCGUAGAGGGUGAGAGUCCCGUAGAGACAAAUCCAACGUCUUGGCUUCUGCACCUGAGUAGGACGGGGCACGCUAAUCCUGUCCGAAGUCACGGAGUCCACUCCGUAAGGCUAAAUACUCUUGGCGACCGAUAGUGAACGAGUACCGUGAGGGAAAGGUGAAAAGCACCCCGACGAGGGGAGUGAAAUAGUACCUGAAACCGUGUGCCUACGAGCAGUCCGCGGGCUAUACCAGCCAGCAAUGGUUGGGAUGCCUCAGGGCGUGCCUCUUGAAGAAUGACCCAGCGAGUUACUGUAUGUGGCAAGGUUAAGCGAGAUACACGCCGAGCCGCAGCGAAAGCGAGUCCGAAGAGGGCGGAGGGACAAUCGUCAAGAUUGUCCUGCGAGUCGCAUGCAGUAGACCCGAAACCUGGUGAGCUACCCAUGGGCAGGAUGAAGUGCCGGUAACACGGCAUGGAGGACCGAACGCACAAAUGUUGCAAAAUUUGGCGAUGACCUGUGGGUAGGUGGUGAAAUGCCUAACGAACUGGGAGAUAGCUGGUUCUCCUCGAAAUAGCUCUAGGGCUAGCCUCACGACAAGACCGCAAGGUCGGAUAAAUCAACGCAGGUAAAGCACUGGCAUGGCUAGGGCGCGGUAAGCGUACCAACCCAUCUCAAACUCUGAAUGGCGUUGAGGAGCGUGGGAGUCGCACAGUGGGGGAUGAGCUUCAUUGUGGAAAGGGAAACAGCCCAGACCGUCAGUUAAGGUCCUUGAGUCGACGCUAAGUGGGAAACGAUGUGAGAAUACUUUGACAGCCAGGAGGUUGGCUUAGAAGCAGCCACCCUUUAAAGAGUGCGUAAUAGCUCACUGGUCAAGUGUUCUUGUGCGGAAAAUAUAACGGGGCUAAAGCGUCGCACCGAAACUGCGGAGUCAGACAUCUGAAAGAGGGUGUUGGCUGGUAGAGGAGCGUUGUUGAGCAGAGAAGGUCGACGGUGACGACGACUGGAGCGACAACAAGAGCGAAUGCUGGGAUGAGUAGCGAGAGCAGUGUGAAAAUCACUGCCGCCGUAAGUCUGAGGGUUCCGCCGCAAGGGUCAUCCGCGGCGGGUUAGUCGGGCCUAAGCCGAGGGCGAAAGCCGUAGGUGAUGGACAAUCGGUCAACAUUCCGAUACCAUCUCCAAGGACUGAGGGAGAGACGCAGAAGGAUAGCCGAGCCUGCCGAAUGGACAUGGCAGGUGCAAAGCGCCAAGAUGUGGAGGACUAUAGGCAAAUCCGUAGUCCGAGUCAAGGUGUAAGCGGUUCCGCAAGGACACAAGUCGGUGAGUUCAGGCUGACGAGAAAAUCUUCUAAAGGGUGAAUUGGAGAUGCCCGUACCGCAAACCGACACAGGUGGACGGCAUGAGCAAUGCAAGGCGAUCGGGAGAACCUCCGUUAAGGAACUAGGCAAAAUGCAUCCGUAACUUCGGGAGAAGGAUGGAUUUCUGUCGUUACAAGUAAUUGGAAGCGAUGGGAAUUCGCAGCGAAGCGGCUCUACUGACUGUUUAACAAAAACACAGGUCUCUGCAAAACCGUAAGGUGAAGUAUAGGGGCUGAUACCUGCCCAGUGCCGGAAGGUUAAGAGGAGGGGUCAAGGCGAAGCAAUUCGCCGGACGCUCCGAAUCGAAGCCCCGGUGAACGGCGGCCGUAACUAUAACGGUCCUAAGGUAGCGAAAUUCCUUGUCGGGUAAGUUCCGACCCGCACGAAAGGUAUAACAAGUGGAGCGCUGUCUCAACGGGGGACCCGGCGAAAUUGAAUUAGUGGUGAAGAUGCCAUUUACCCGCAGUAGGACAAAAAGACCCCGUGGAGCUUUACUCUAACUUGGCACUGGAUGGGGGACAGUUGUGCGUAGGAUAGGUGGGAGCCUGAGAAACUGGGCUUGCGGGCUCGGUGGAGGCAACGUUGAAAUACCACCCUCAAGUGUUUUCGAUUCUAAUGGACUUCCGUAAGCCGGAAUCCAGACCAUGCCAGGCGGGGAGUUUGACUGGGGCGGUCGCCUCCUAAACGGUAACGGAGGCGCCCAAAGGUGCGCUCAGGCUGAAUGGAAACCAGCCGCAGAGUGUAAAGGCACAAGCGCGCUUGACUGUGAGAGUUACAACUCGAACAGAGACGAAAGUCGGGCUUAGUGAUCUCACGCAAUGUGUGUGGAAACGGCGUGACUUAUCGGACAAAAGCUACCCCGGGGAUAACAGGCUGGUGAAGCCCAAGCGUUCACAGCGACGGCUUCGCUCGGCACCUCGAUGUCGGCUCGUCGCAUCCUGGGGCUGGAAUAGGUCCCAAGGGUUGGGCUGUUCGCCCAUUAAAGCGGCACGCGAGCUGGGUUCAGAACGUCGUGAGACAGUUCGGUCUCUAUCCACUGUGGGCGAAGGAACGUUGCGAGGAGCUGUCCCUAGUACGAGAGGACCGGGAUGGACCGACCGCUGGUGUGCGAGUUGUCCUGCCAAGGGCAUCGCUCGGUAGCCAAGUCGGGCAGCGAUAACCGCUGAAUGCAUCUAAGUGGGAAGCGCACCUCCAGAUAAGCGUUCCGUUCGAAUCGUCAGAUUCGAGUAAGUGCGGUUGAAGACGACAACCUAGAUAGGGUGGGCGUGUAACACGUGUGAGCGUGGAGCGAACCACUCCUAAUGCACGAGCGCUUGUUCU